rnacentral:pre_miRNA from 1 species
AAACAGCCCCCUAUGUUUUGAUUCUUUGGCAGUUUUGGACCCCCAGUCCAUUGUUGACUCGGUCAACGCUGACGUGGCACCCUAAAUGAGGUGCCACGUGUCAAUUUUUUUAUUUUUUUUUGCCUUGGGGUCCAAAACUGCCAAAGAAUCAAAACAUAGGGGGCUGUUU